rnacentral:misc_RNA from 1 species
AAGUAGAAGGAAAGAAAAAGAAAAAGGAGCGUUUGACAAAGAUCCAUCAAACAUGUGCAGCACAUCAAAAGUCUCCUUCCAUUUGAUACCGGUUCACCUGUAAAGUUGGCAAUUCGCACCAAACUCACAAUACUAUAAUGCAAGCCUAAUAAAAAGAACUCUCUUCCAGCUAAUAUCCAUCCCAUCAUCAACCAAUGCAAUCAAUAUCAAAAUCUCUGUUCAAAGUCUUUCUUCUUCAAAGCAACUUUCCUUUCGUCUCCUUUUUAGUGCUUA